rnacentral:rRNA from 1 species
GACAGAGGGUGCAAACGUUGUUCGGAAUUACUGGGCGUAAAGCGCGUGUAGGCGGCCAUGCAAGUCGGAUGUGAAAGCCCUCGGCUCAACCGGGAAGUGCACUCGAAACUGCAAGGCUAGAGUCUCGGAGAGGAUCGUGGAAUUCUCGGUGUAGAGGUGAAAUUCGUAGAUAUCGAGAGGAACACCGGUGGCGAAGGCGGCGAUCUGGACGAUGACUGACGCUGAGACGCGAAGCGUGGGAGCAACAGG